rnacentral:rRNA from 1 species
UACGGAGGGUGCAAGCGUUAUCCGGAUUUACUGGGUUUAAAGGGUGCGUAGGCGGAUUAAUAAGUCAGUGGUGAAAGCCUGGAGCUCAACUCCAGAACUGCCAUUGAUACUGUUAAUCUUGAGUGUAGAUGAAGUGGGCGGAAUGUAACGUGUAGCGGUGAAAUGCUUAGAUAUGUUACAGAACACCGAUUGCGAAGGCA